AUAUUUUCAGGCAGCUAUUGAGCUUUUCUAGAGGAAGAGCUGAUGAAAAGAGUCACAGCUGAAUAGUGGAGAGAAAAAGCCCGGUAUUUAUUGCUUUUGUUUGGCUUUUGGCUACAGAGACAGGAACCUUCUAAUGGGAGGAGAAGAGCUACCUUGCGGUGAGCAGUGCAAUGAAGAAACCCAUGGUGAGGACUGAGGCCUUCAGUCCAUCAGCCCUGGCAACAAACGACAGCCUUUGCAACAUAUGGUAUAAGGAACCAUUUGCGAAUGAUGGUCUGGGGAAGAAAUAUGGAUACAACUGCUCUUGCUUCAGGAUUGUGAGAAUAAAACAAAAUAAUGUCUAAGUUGAGUCUAAUCCAUCCAUCCAUCCAUCCAUCCAUCCAUCCAUCCAUCCAUCCAUCCAUCAUCUACUUCAAUCAGUAUUUACGUAUGCCCACUCUGUGUCAGAUACUGAGUACAGUGUCCUAAAGUAGAGAAUGACAGGAAGUCAGCACC
ensembl:lncRNA